rnacentral:lncRNA from 1 species
GACUUCUAUAAAUUUCAUUAACUUUUUUCAGGUACUUUCUCUCAACAGACUGUUGGCUAUCUCUCAACAGACUGUCAAGAUCUAAAGAGAGGAACCAGAGCAUGAAAAAAUGAAAAUAUAGGACCCUGUCCUUUCCAGAAACCGAAAAUGCUAAAUUCCUUCUGACUGGAAGUGAACAUGAACCUCUGGCACUUGGAUAUUCACAUGCCCAACACAUCUGAUACACUUAACAACUAUGGAAACACCAGUGGAAAAUGUCUGCUUGUAGGAUCAAGAAAGAACUUUCACCAUGUAAAGGCGGAGUUGCUGCACGGCGGCCUCGGCAGCGGCUAUGGCGGCCCCUGCGUCUUCCAGGUGGGUCUGAGUGACGCUGGUUUUGCUUUGACUGCGAGAUGGUCCGUGUGAGCGGAGAUGGCCUUCAGAUGAUGACUUCGAGCUGCCAGGACUACUGUGGGAUUUCUCAAUAGUGGGAACCUGCAUGUCUGGUUACAAAAGGGUAAAACAUGAGUUCAAGCAUCCUUCCUGUCAAGUUGGGUGGAAAAUAAUUUGAAAUUGCCUAUGCUUUAUGUGGAUUAUCUGGUUUUGUAUGGCACCUUUAUACAACUGCUCACAUAGAGUAAUAUGAUUAAGCAUUUAGGAAAUAAUUUUGGGGUGGAAAGACAUAAGGACCAUAGUCUUGAAAAGAGACAUACUUGAAAAGAGGAAUGAAUUCAUUCUAACAAGCCUUGAGUACAUGACUAUAUUAUCUUGUAGUUUCACCAAGUAAAUCUCUUAAUUCUAGUAGAAGCCAGGUAAGAGACAACAGGAUUAUACUGCUACGGAAGGAGUGUUAAUUAAAUAUGUAGUGAAUUCUAGAUGAAGGUGUGUGGACAUAUUAAACAUGGAGAUUGUGGAAUCGUCUUCUCAGGCUACUUUAGAGAAUGUAUAGAGCACACAUUUUGUAAAGUGGUUUGAGCAUGGAGGUCAGAGAAAGAGAGAGGUGCAGUUCAGAUAGGAUAUUUAUACUAACCGUCUUCCAGAAUGUCAAUCAGGGUAAGGUUGAUAUGGGUAAAUGGAAUCCAUAAGUGAUCUAUAUAGCUCGUUCAUAAGUGCUCUACAGCACUCACUGUAGUGAACAAUUUAUCAUAUCAACUCAGUGACCUACUGGACAUGGCCUCAGUUUCCCAUCUCCUAGAACACUUGUACUUAUGACCCAUUCCCUUCUAAUGUACAAAGAACUACUUUUCAUUUGAUGUAUUUCUGAAAGGAGGAGACAAGGAAGCAUUCAUGAGGUCCAAUAUAAAAUUUAUAUUUAAUAUUUAUACAUAGUUGACUAUAUUUGGGUAAGUUACUACAUAGUUAUCUCAUACAGGUAGUACCUUGGUUUAUAAUGAAGAUUCAUAUUGUAUUGUAGGGUAGUUGAUAAUGAACCUCCCAAAGGAAAGCUCAUUUGAAUGGGAAGGUGUUCAAUUGUCAAACCAAAUCUAUGGCAUUGCUAUUUAAAAAUAAAUGAAUGGUAGCUAAAAAAUCAGAGUUAGCUUUAGUCCAACUGUUUGAAAAGGCUUAAGUAAAUUUCUGCAUAUCCAUCAUUUUAAUGUGAUGGGGAACAUGUUCUUGAUAGGAUUAGUAAAUUGUAGGAUGCAAAAUCAUAUAUAUGAAAUAAGACUAUACCUAUGGAAAAAUAGGGAUUUAAACAAUUUAGAAGGAAUAUGCCUAAAUGGUAAUGGUGAUUAUGUCCAGUAAAUGAGAUGGUAGGAAUUUGUAUUUCCUUUAUAAAAUACCGCAAUGAAAUUUAUAAAAUCAUAUUACCAAGAAGUUUGAGAGCUGGAAAAGAUUCAAUAGUCCCUUGAGCCCAAUCUUCUCCAUUUUACAGGUUGGAAAAAGAGGAACAGAGAGGUGAAGAUCACAAAGUCAUACACCUAAUAUGGGCUGACCCUGAAACUAAAGUCCAUUUUUCCUGAUUUCAUAUCCAUCACUCUUUUCAUGGCAUUAUGUUGUGUAUUUUCCAAUAAAAUCCGAAUCUAACAUUUCAAACUAUAUUAAAUAUACAGACAUUUAUACUCAGAAAGAUACUGACUGAACAAGUAGACACAAUUUUUUUUUCUUGAAAUAUCUCCUACCCUUGGAUGGGUCAGGGAAGAUACCAUGACUUCUGCUUUUGAUGACAGAUGGCUUUGGGGACUGCUGGGUGCUCUGACUGGAAUGGGACUUGCCAUGAUCAAUGCUUUCAGUCUGUUCUUUGAGAGGAUACCACCUAGGAGUGUUAUCGAGGUGAGAUGUGCUAGAUAAAUCAAUCAAUACCUGAAAAACAGUAUAAUAAACUAAUGAAAUAUAUGGUCUAAGCUAUAUUUAUUCAAUACUCAUUUAUGUGAUCUAAGAUUUCUGCUUAAGGAUAUUGACUCAAGGAUAUAGUAUAAGCUCUGAGAAUACUGAGGCUGGGUUCCUCAUUUUUUAAAUCAUCCAUGAUAUUGGCAAUGGUAUCUUGUGCAUAUCAGAUGCUCAAUAAAUGUUUGAUUAAAUUGAACAGUUUAAAAAUUUGGCUAUCAACAAUUUAUUUUUAGAUGUGUAAAAAGGCAGGGGCUCAAAUCACUCUCUUCCUGAAACAGCAAAGUUUUCUUUUGUUGCAUAGACACAGUCUGGUCCUAAACUUGGCUAAGAACUUUGAUAAAUGUUUUCUAUUAGUUACAAGAGGGGCAACAUGAAAAAGAACGGGUCAUUUGCAAUUACUAACGUAU